AUGGGCCUAACUAGGGCUCUUCCUGAUCCUUCCAUUUAUGAAGUUCAGUUUUAAUCAGCAGCCUUCUUAGCUUGACAUUUUAUAUCUUUCCUGAUCUGUGUCCAAUCUGCUUUUUUGACCAUCUUUUUCCUAAGAAACAAUGAUAAUGAAACAGAGCUAAGCUGGGUGGGGGACAAGAGGAAGACCCAGUUGGUAGGUCCUCACUUGCAUGCUUAAGAUUGCAGGACACAACCCCAAAGCAGGCACUGUUCAAAAGUUGGAGGAAAAACUUGCGGGAACAUGAUCCUUGUACAUUAGCAACUCCUGUUCAAGUAGAUUGUUCUUAUGUGUGGACCUUGAAGUGAGAAGAAAUG